rnacentral:rRNA from 1 species
AGUACGCUGGCGGCAUGCUAACACUGCAGUCAAACGAGAUCUUCGGAUCUAGUGGCGCACGGGUGAGUAACGCGUGGGAACCUACCUUUUAGUACGGGACAACGUUUGGAAACGAACGCUAAUACCGUAUACGCCCUCCGGGGGAAAGGUCAGCCGCUAAAAGAGGGGCCCGCGUCUGAUUAGCUUGUUGGUAAGGUAAUGGCUUACCAAGGCGACGAUCAGUAGCUGGUCUGAGAGGAUGAUCAGCCACACUGGGACUGAGACACGGCCCAGACUCCUACGGGAGGCAGCAGUGGGGAAUAUUGGACAAUGGAGGCAACUCUGAUCCAGCAAUGCCGCGUGUGUGAUGAAGGCCCUAGGGUUGUAAAGCACUUUCAACGGUGAAGAUGAUGACGGUAGCCGUAGAAGAAGCCCCGGCUAACUUCGUGCCAGCAGCCGCGGUAAUACGAAGGGGGCGAGCGUUAUUCGGAAUUAUUGGGCGUAAAGGGCUCGCAGGCUGCUUGAACAGUUAGACGUGAAAUCCCCGGGCUUAACCUGGGAACUGCGUUUAAUACUAGCAAGCUAGAGAAAUAGAGAGGAAAGUGGAACUCCCAGUGUAGAGGUGA